AGUGAACGCUGGCGGUAGGCCUAACACAUGCAAGUCGAACGGCAGCACAGUAAGAGCUUGCUCUUACGGGUGGCGAGUGGCGGACGGGUGAGGAAUACAUCGGAAUCUACUUUUUCGUGGGGGAUAACGUAGGGAAACUUACGCUAAUACCGCAUACGACCUACGGGUGAAAGCAGGGGAUCUUCGGACCUUGCGCGAUUGAAUGAGCCGAUGUCGGAUUAGCUAGUUGGCGGGGUAAAGGCCCACCAAGGCGACGAUCCGUAGCUGGUCUGAGAGGAUGAUCAGCCACACUGGAACUGAGACACGGUCCAGACUCCCACGGGAGGCAGCAGUGGGGAAUAUUGGACAAUGGGCGCAAGCCUGAUCCAGCCAUACCGCGUGGGUGAAGAAGGCCUUCGGGUUGUAAAGCCCUUUUGUUGGGAAAGAAAGGCAGCAGGUUAAUACCCCGCUGUUCUGACGGUACCCAAAGAAUAAGCACCGGCUAACUUCGUG
rnacentral:rRNA from 1 species